rnacentral:rRNA from 1 species
AUUGAACGCUGGCGGCAUGCCUUACACAUGCAAGUCGAACGGCAGCACGGGUGCUUGCACCUGGUGGCGAGUGGCGAACGGGUGAGUAAUACAUCGGAACGUACCUUAUCGUGGGGGAUAACGCAGCGAAAGCUGUGCUAAUACCGCAUACGCCCUGAGGGGGAAAGCGGGGGAUCGCAAGACCUCGCGCGAUUAGAGCGGCCGAUGCCUGAUUAGCUUGUUGGUGGGGUAAAAGCCCACCAAGGCGACGAGCAGUAGCUGGUCUGAGAGGACGAUCGGCCACACUGGGACUGAGACACGGCCCAGACUCCUACGGGAGGCAGCAGUGGGGAAUGUUGGACAAUGGGGGCAACCCUGAUCCAGCAAUGCCGCGUGAGUGAAGAAGGCCUUCGGGUUGUAAAGCUCUUUUGUCAGGGAAGAAACACCGGCUCUAACACAGUCUGGGAAUGACGGUACCUGAAGAAUAAGCACCGGCUAACUACGUGCCAGCCGCCGCGGUAA